rfam:Triticum aestivum genome assembly, contig: Triticum_aestivum_CS42_TGACv1_scaffold_145912_2BS
UUUCUACUUUCUCCAGAAAUACUUGUCAUCAAAAUGAAUAAAACCAGAUGUAUCUAGACAUAUUUUAGUUCUACAUACAUCCCUUUUUAUCUAUUUUGAUGAUAAUUAUUUUCGGAUGGAGGAAGUAUUUU